GUUUCCAUUAAGGCGGAGCUGUGAUGGCGAGGGAAAUAUAGUACCGAAGUUCCUGAUUCCACGCUGCCAAGAAAAGCCUCUAGUGAGAUGUAAGGUGCCCGUACCGCAAACCGACACAGGUAGGCGGGGAGAGAAUCCUAAGGUGUGCGAGAGAACUCUCGUUAAGGAACUCGGCAAAAUGACCCCGUAACUUCGGGAGAAGGGGUGCUUUUUAGGGUGAAUAGCCCGGAAAAGCCGCAGUGAAUAGGCCCAGGCGACUGUUUAGCAAAAACACAGGUCUCUGCGAAGCCGCAAGGCGAAGUAUAGGGGCUGACACCUGCCCGGUG
rnacentral:rRNA from 1 species